rnacentral:lncRNA from 1 species
ACUGUGUGUCCUGCUUGCGCAGCAGCGUGUUCCUUUCUUAGGUUUUGGGCAAAGUGAGGGUCAGGGAGGAAGGGAGGCAGCUUUUGAAGGGAGGGAGGGCUGUUGCUCGCCUUGAGCUGUGACAGGUACUGAAAUUAGACUGUAAAAGGUCACAGUGUAGCUUCCUGGAUAUGUCAUAGAAACAAGGCUGGCAAAGGGCUCAUGCACAGCAUCAAAAGACCUUGAACUCUUGUGCAAAUUUACCAGGGGAUGUGGAAAAGCAAACACAGAGAAGUGCAGCACAGAGAGUGCUGUGGUGGCUAGAGCUACUUCUGAAGAAGCGCUGUUCUUAACUAGAGUUGGUCAUGAAUUUUCUGACCAAAUGCUUCUCCUUAGAAAUUGCCUGCUCUGGUCAAACUCAGAAUUUUUCCCUGGGAUCUAUUGGAUCGGGAAUCUUUGGGACUUGGAGCUUGGAACUGGAGAAGAUUUACAGCCUGACUGUCUAUACCUAUGUCUGAGGCUUCACUCUAGGGCUUGCCUGCUGGGUCUGGUAUCUGAUUUCCUCAGACGGUGGCUAAUCCAUUUGCACUUUCUAUAACAGAAGUUUUGAUGGAUCUCUCUUGUAUUAUACUGUGCUCCCAUUUGUUAUCCAUCCAACCAUCCACUACUGUCUGAAACAUGGAGAGAUAUCAACGUUUAAAAGUAUUUUCAUCAGUUCCUUUGUAGUCCCCAGUGUCUCUGACCAGCUCAAUAAAAUUCCCUUUGCAUUUAUGUUCA